GCAGCACCGUUCUGACAGUGCUGAAGAGAGCUAUUUCUGCAGACUUCAGAGACGAAUAUUGCUGCUCUAACUCUGACAGUUAUCAGCAUCCUCCUUUUAAGCUGUAACUUUGGCCUCUAAGCCAGCUGGCUUCUAUGUGCAGAAGCCAGAAGUGUGUAAUCCCCCUCUUGGAAAGCAAGAAUUCAGCCGCCGUUUCUAAGCAGUAAGCCGCAUGAGGCAACUGCUCCGCUAUACUCCUGGGAGUGGAAAUAUGUUUUGGCAAUGCUCAUUUUCCUUUUGGGGCCGAAAAUUCUGGAGGGGUUUCAGAGUAUUCCAUGACUGGCUGCCAUGAAACAGCAUAGCAGGACAAGUGAAAACUCUCCUUUUGACAGCACACAGAAUUGAAGUGUAAGGAGGAAGAAGCAUGAGAGACACGUGCUGUUUCCCCUGUUUCUCUGGAAGUCCCAUAGAUCCAAGCACCCUGUUCUCAUAGGAGGCAAUUCUUCUUUACAUGUUCACAGGCUCGUAUCUAUCACCCUUUCUAGCCUGUUUCAAGAAGUUUGGUGUCAGACAGCACCCCUCAGUCUGGAACCACCUAAUAAAU